ensembl:sense_overlapping
AACCUUCACUGAUGUUUCCUGCAUUGAGUAAAGAUCAGCAGCUCUCCAGGAACCCUGCAAGACUGGGACUGCUGAGGGCCCUAGCCUUGAAGACAGAACAACUACUGGGUUAUCAUCCUCCCUAGUGAGGGAUAGCAACUGUGGGACUACUCCAGAUGUUUACCACCCAAGUAAUGCCUCGGUCUCUGCUCUCAGAUAAGCGUAAUAUAGGGGUGUAGCCAAGAUGUCAGAAUGCUUGCCAAACAUGUGUAAAUCCCUGAGUUCAACCUCCAGCAUCACAUAAAAUAGCCCGUGGGGUUGUAUACCUAUAUUUCUAGCACUUGGAGAUAGCAGCAGGAGGAUCAGAUAUUCAAGGUCAACCUCAACUACCAGGUACAAAAAAAUCUGUCCAGAAUGUUUCUGUGGAUACUGCAGAAAUCAUUUACUCAUGGGAGAUUGCAAGGUAGGACUCUGUCUAGUGCCCUGGUUUUAUUAAAGAGCCUGUGUGUCAUACUUCAAGAACAUAUUGCUUCAACUUUGUAAAGAAAUAUAUUGUAUAUGUAGUAAGAUUACAUGAGUAUUGAGUGCCUACUGUGUGACAGACAUUAUAGUAUUCUUUGCCAAAGUAAGCACUUUGGAAUAACUUCAGGUUGGCACAAGAUUCAAAAUCAUCUUGGCUCCAACUCAUAAUUCAAAACAAUAACAAACUCUUAAGAAGUAUUAGCCUGGCUCGCCUUUAAACAAUCUGAAUUCAAAGUGUGAGUUGGGCAGGCAAGAAAAUGGAAGAGGACCAGUGUGGGUCCUGGAGUGGGGGAUUCUGGACACGUGGAGGCCCUUGGAUGCUGAAAUCAGAGCUACAAACCAACCAAGCUGGCCCUCUGAACUCACUGAUUCACCCUGGGAAUUUUUAUUACCAGAUAAAGCAUGUAUUUCUUUUGCAGGAUGAUUAUAGUGUAGUGACUAUGGUGAGUCACACUCAAAUUGAUGUGGAGACUACAAAUCAUGCAGAGAUGGUGUGCGUUCAUGUAGGGGUGUAUGUGUGUGUAUAUGUGUGUCCAUCUGCAUAGGGAGUCCAUAGGACAACCUCAAGUAUCUCUCCACCUUGUUUUGUGAGACAAGGUCUCUCACUGGCCUGGAACUUGCCAAGUAGGCUAGGCUGUCUGACUAUUGCUCCCUAGAUAUUCACCAGCCUUAGAAUAACAAGUGUGUGGCAGCACACAUGGAUUUUUUUUUAAUAUGGGUCUGGAAGUUGAACUCUGCUUCUCGUGCUUGGAAGGAGUAUACUUUACUUGCUUAGCUAUCUCCCCAGCUUAAAAAAUAAUGUCCUCUCAGAACACAAAGCAUAUGUUUUUACACUUACAACCAGAGUUCUAUUUCAUUUUCUAGUUUUGAGAGAACUGUAGGGAAAAACACCCUUGCUUCCUGCCUCAUGUCAGUAUGAAUUCAGUUCCCCAGUUACCUAUAAUUUGAGGACAACAGAAUUCUCUUUUUCCUUCCAUCAGCCUUUUCUCAGCUCGUAGAUGUUUGAACAGGUAUGAGAGGAAUAAGUUCUGGCACGCAAUAACUUGCAAACACAGCUGUUUCUGUUGUUUCAGGCCAAAAGAGACCAGUGUAUGUUCAGUCCACCACAAGGAGAAGCCUAUUGGCUGUUGUCAGAAAGGCAGGAUCAAGGAGCAAAGAUUAGCUCUCCACCCAACCUAAUCUACUGUUUAUCACUUCCCUGCAGCAGCAAGGAGCUGUUUUAGAGUGUUUUGCUCACAGGGCUCCAAAGACAGGAAGGCAUUUUUAUGGGCUAGUGCCACAUCAGGUGCUUCCCUCAAAGCAUAACCCACACUCAAGUGAGGAGCAUAUCUUCUGAAGAUAGGGAGAUAGCAAAGAAUCUAUGACAAUAUUAAAAUGACUGUAAUGUGUCAGAGGAAAACUAUUCUAUCAUGGAAUGGCAGAAACCUUUCUGAUCAUUGUUUGAAUGGGAGAUUGGAGUGUCCUCUGCCUUGGGUACCUGGUGAGACUAUGCUGAUGACCACACUGAAGAUGGGAGAUUGGAGUGUCCUCUGCCUUGGGUACCUGGUGAGACUAUGCUGAUGACCACACUGAUCCAGUGGCUUCUCUGGCACCAGAACAGUAGCAGCACGAUCUGACCCUCUCUCUACCCAUCUUAAAGAACAUAUUGUCUGAGCAGCAUGAUAACAGUUCUGAGCUUCCUGCUGCCUCUGUUUUAAUUUGUUGAUAUUUUCAUUUAACUACUCUGAUGGGAACAUUAAAUCAAUGUGGUUGAUUUUUGAAGAAUGCAAUCUAGAAAA